rnacentral:rRNA from 1 species
CUAGGUGCCCCCGGUGGCUGUCGUCGGUACGACCGGUGCCGGCGUGCCGAAAGGCGUGUCCCUUGGGGCACUACGCUGCAACGGCCUGUGGGCUCCCCAUCCGACCUGUCUUGAAACACGGACCAAGGAGUCUGACAUGCGUGCGAGUCGACGGGUUCUGAAUCCAGGGAUGCGCAAGGAAGCUGACGAGCGGCAGGCCCGCACGGGCCGCACCGCUGGCCGACCCUGAUCUUCUGUGAAGGGUUCGAGUUGGAGCAU